rnacentral:lncRNA from 1 species
CUCAUUGAGCUAAAGCAGGAAAGUUAUUAUUGCAUCAGCUAUACAAAAGCUUUCUAGGGACACUUGGAAGCACUAUCAGCCGAUACAUUACAUCAGUUAUUCAAAGUUCUUGAUCAGUCCAUAUCUUAUCAAUGUAAUUUACUUAUUACACACUGUAUAUAUUUACAACAUACCAUAACUUACAUGAAGUUUAUUCUAAAUUCGUUUUGCAAGAGCUACAACUAACUCUCGUCUUCUGAGGAGUUUGAUGUCAAUUCAAAGUUGGUUCGGUUCUAAUGUGAUGCAUAACAUAACAGGCAGGGGAGGUCUGUCCUGUUGGAAGAAAAAGAGUCGUGUCCAGUCGGUGAAAUUUGGUUUUAAUAAAACAAGGGAAGUAGUAUAUUAUGUUGUAUUGUAUUUUUUUUUGAACAAGAUUAUGUUGUAUUGUAUUGUGUUGUCUAAACACUAUCUGUUCCUAAAUAUUGAUGUAGAUUAAGAUAUUUUAGACUCGUAUAGAUGUUUGUCCCCCUAAUAUGUAUAUUUAUGAUUUAUAUAGCUAUCUAUUUUGCAUUGUUGAAGUUUGUGUUCUAUUCUUGUUUGUUUCCUGCUAAGAUAGAUCAAUUAAUGUUAUAUGAGCUUUUCCAGAUAAAAAUAUAGAAAACCGUAUAAUAAAUGUAUACAGUGUCG